rnacentral:rRNA from 1 species
GUGGGGAAUAUUGCGCUAAUGCGCGAAAGCGUGACGCAGCGACACCGCGUGGGGGAUGAAGGCCCUCGGGUUGUAAACCCCUUUCGGCAGGGACGAAGCGAAAGUGACGGUACCUGCAGAAGAAGUCCCGGCUAACUACGUGCCAGCAGCCGCGGUAACACGUAGGGGACGAGCGUUGUCCGGAUUUAUUGGGCGUAAAGCGCGCGUAGGCGGUCGUGCAAGUCGGUUGUGAAAACCCGGGGCUCAACCCCGGGCCUGCGUCCGAUACUGCUCGACUCGAGGUAGGUAGGGGAGAUCGGAAUUCCUGGUGUAGCGGUGAAAUGCGCAGAUAUCAGGAGGAACACCGGUGGCGAAGGCGGAUCUCUGGGCCUUACCUGACGCUGAGGCGCGAAAGCUAGGGGAGCGAACAGGAUUAGAUACCCCUGUAGUCC